AUUGAACGCUGGCGGCAAGCCUAACACAUGCAAGUCGAACGAGUGGCGGCCGGGUGCGUAAUGUCUGGGAAACUGCCUGAUGGAGGGGGAUAACUACUGGAUACGGUAGCUAAUACCGCAUACCAUCGGAUGUGCCCUGCUGGGAUUAGAUAGUAGGUGGGGUAAAGGCUCACCUAGGCGACGAUCCCUAGCUGGUCUGCGAGGAUGACCAGGCGCACUGGAACGGAGACACGGUCCAGACUCCUACGAGAGGCAGUAGUGGGGAGUAUUGCGCAAUGGGCGCAAGCCUGAUGCAGCCAUGCCGCGUGUAUGAAGAAGGCCUUCGGGUUGUAAAGUACUUUCAGCGAGGAGGCGUUACCCGCAGAAGAAGCACCGGCUAACUCCGUGCCAGCCGCCGCGGUAAUUC
rnacentral:rRNA from 1 species